rnacentral:rRNA from 1 species
GAAUUCGCCCUUAGAGUUUGAUUCUGGCUCAGAAUGAACGCUGGCGGCAUGGAUUAGGCAUGCAAGUCGAACGGGUUCCCUCGGGAACUAGUGGCGUAAGGGUGAGUAACACGUGAGUAACCUGCCCCUGAAUCUGGAAUAAACUAGGGAAACUUGGUCUAAAACCGGAUGCCGGCCGGACACCUCCUGGUGGCUGGCUGAAAUAUUUAUAGUUCAGGGAUGGGCUCGCGUCCCAUUAGCUAGUUGGCGGGGUAAUGGCCCACCAAGGCUACGACGGGUAGGUGGUCUGAGAGGAUGGUCACCCACACUGGGACUGAGACACUGCCCAGACUCCUACGGGAGGCUGCAGUCGAGAAUCUUCCGCAAUGGGCGCAAGCCUGACGGAGCAAUGCCGCGUGAGGGAUGAAGGCCUUCGGGUUGUAAACCUCUGUCACCUGGGACGAACACAAUGACGGUACCAGGAAAGGAAGCCACGGCUAACCACGUGCCAGCAGCCGCGGUAACACGUGGGUGGCGAGCGUUAUUCGGAUUUACUGGGCGUAAAGGGUCCGCAGGGGGCCUGCCACGCCCGCCGUGAAAUUUCAGGGCUCAACCCUGAACGUGCGGCGGGUACGGGCGGGCUGGAGUGCAGGAUGGGCAGACGGAAUUCCAGGUGUAGCGGUGGAAUGCGUAGAUAUCAGGUGGAACACCGAUGGCGAAGGCGGUCUGCUGGCACAUUACUGACCCUCAUGGACGAAAGCGUGGGUAGCAAACAGGAUUAGAUACCCUGGUAGUCCACGCUGUAAACUUUGAGAACUAGAUAUGGUGGGGCUGGCCCCCUCCGUGUCCCAGCUAACGCGAUAAGUUCUCCGCCUGGGGAGUACGGCCGCAAGGCUAAAACUCAAAGGAAUUGACGGGGACCCGCACAAGCAGUGGAGUAUGUGGUUUAAUUUGAAGCAACGCGAAGAACCUUACCAGGGCUUGACAUGCAGGUGAAUAUGCUAGAGAUAGUAUAGUCCUUCGGGACACCUGUGCAGGUGGUGCAUGGUUGUCGUCAGCUCGUGUCGUGAGAUGUUGGGUUAAGUCCCGCAACGAGCGCAACCCCUGUUGCUAGUUGCCAUCAUUAAGUUGGGCACUCUAGCGAGACUGCCGGUGACAAAUCGGAGGAAGGUGGGGAGGACGUCAAAUCAUCAUGCCCCUUAUGUCUUGGGCUACACACGUACUACAAUGGCUAUAACAGCAGGGAGGUAAGGAGUAAUCCGGAGCGAAUCCUCAAAAAUAGUCCCAGUUCGAAUUGUGGGCUGAAACCCGCCCACACGAAGUCGGAAUUGCUAGUAAUGGCAGGUCAGCAUACUGCCGUGAAUAAGUUCCCGGGUCUUGCACUCACCGCCCGUCA